UUUAAAUGUAAAUUAAUAUACUAAAUUAGUAAUAGUUAAGUUCUUAAAAUUUAAAGAUUUUGGCGGUAUUUUAGUCUAUUCAGAGGAACCUGUUCUAUAAUUGAUAAUCCACGAUUAAUUGGACUUAAUUUAAUAAUUUGUAUAUCGUCGUUUAUAAAUAAUUUUAAAAGAAUUAAAAUUUUUAAGAUUUUUUAUUAAAAAGUAUAUCAGAUCAAGGUGCAGUUUAUAUUUAAGAAUUAAUGGGUUACAAUAAAUUUAUUUAUACGGAUUAAUAAAUAAAAUUUUAUUAUGAAGGAGGAUUUGAUAGUAAUAAAAUUUAAUUUAAUUUUAUGAUUUUAGCUCUAAAAUAUGU
rnacentral:rRNA from 2 species